AUUGAACGCUGGCGGCAGGCCUAACACAUGCAAGUCGAACGAGUGGCGGACGGGUGAGUAAUGUCUGGGAAACUGCCCGCUGGAGGGGGUUAACUACUUGAAACGGUAGCUAAUACCGCAUACCAUCGGAUGUGCCCAGAUGGGAUUAGCUUGUAGGUGAGGGAACGGCUCAACUAGGCGACGAUCCCUAGCUGGUCUGAGAGGAUGACCAGCCACACUGGAACUGAGACACGGUCACGACUCCUACGGGAGGCAGCAGUGGGGAAUAUUACACAAUGGGCGCAAGCCUGAUGCAGCCAUGCCGCGUGGAUGAAGAAGGCCUUCGGGUUGUAAAGUACUUUCAGCGGGGAGGCGUUACCCGCAGAAGAAGCACCGGCUAACUCCGUGCCAGCAGCCGCGGUAAUAC
rnacentral:rRNA from 1 species